GCGGCAUUGAUGUAACAGCAGCAGCCUGGGCCUCCAACCCAGUCGUGCGGGUGCAACUCCCGUGUGCCGCACCA
rnacentral:tRNA from 1 species